rnacentral:rRNA from 1 species
UACGUAGGGGGCGAGCGUUGUCCGGAUUUAUUGGGCGUAAAGAGCGUGUAGGCGGUUAGGUAGGUCCGUUGUGAAAACCCGGGGCUCAACCCCGGGCCUGCAGUCGAUACGGGCGGACUAGAGUUCGGCAGGGGAGACUGGAAUUCCUGGUGUAGCGGUGAAAUGCGCAGAUAUCAGGAGGAACACCGGUGGCGAAGGCGGCAUCCUGGACCAAUUCUGACGCUGAGGAGCGAAAGCCAGGGGAGCAAACGGG